UGGGGAUGUGCCCACAACCAAGGUACAUGCCCUUGACCGGAAUCGAACCUGGGACCCUUGAGUCUGCAGGCCGACGCUCUAUCCACUGAGCCAAACCAGUUAGGGCUUAUUAAGUAUUUUUAAUGUGUCAAGCAUUGUAAAUGCUUAAGAGGUGUUUCAUUUAAUCCUUACAAAAUCUCUGUGAUUGAGAUACUCUUAUUAUAACCAAUUUUACAGAAAAGGAAAUGAAGGCCCAGAGAGAUGGAAUAACUUUAUGUUUGUAUGAGGCAGUGCCAGGAUUCAUAAUCCAAGGUUGUCUGACUCUGACACUUGUGCCCUUAACUACUAAGCUUUGUAGAGUUUCUUUUCUCCUCCCUUAUGUAAUUGGAAAUUCAGCCUUAGGCUGGAACAAAAGGAGGUGAGAUCAGUCAAUAAGUGUUACAUAUCUUCAGGAAGGUGUUUGCCCAGCAGCUGGCUUUAAAAGGAUUGCUACUCGGGGAAAAUAAUGGUGCCAGGGUCCUAACAGUCUCCUCUUCCCCUGAGCAGCAGGCCAUAGUAAGCCUGCAGGACAAAGUCUUUGGAAAGAUUUUUGGUUCUGCUGUGCUCGUUGAUAUGGAGACUGGACUGUGUACAAAGUGGCCUCACAUAAUCCCCUUGGUUGGUUAGGAACCAGGAAGCAAACUGGUCAUAAGAAUGACUUUCGAACAUUUUUCUACCCUUUCCCGCCCAGAGCUACCAGAACUAUUUGAUGAUGGUUCCAAAUCCACGCACAGGAGACACUGCAGCGGGGAUUGCCGUGGAACCAGGCAGGCCCGUGUGCAAUCUGCAUUGAACGCUGUGGGGAAGUUCGGACCCAGAGGCGCACAUACAGGAAGAGAUGCAGACUCAUCGACAAGCCAAGAGGGAGCCCGGAGCGACCUCCCGCUCAGCCUCAGAAGGAGCCAGCCCUGCCGACACCUGGGCCUGGACGAUCCUGGGGGCCCGUGAGGAAACAGUGCCUGUUGUGUAACCGCCCAGACUGGGGCGCUUGGUGCCAGCCCUAGCAGGGCCGCCCGUGUUUCCUCGCUCACUGACAGCGUCUCACGGUUGCUAGGGAUUCUAGAAGCUGAGCCUUUACCUUGCAAUCACCUGGCAACCAGCGUGGGGGACAAAAGCCACACGCAAAGGAUCGCUAAACAGAAGCUAGAAGGAGCCGGAUGGCCCCCAGCCGCCCUCACACACCUGAACCAUCCAUCCUCUGACUCCUCGUGUGGGGCACAGAAGCCAAAGCCACCGUGGCGCGCUGAGCCAGUCUGUCCAGUGUGACGUUACCCUCGGCCAAGUGAGAUGCUAAUGGUCCCACUGCGACACGGGGUGCUUCUUCCAGAUGGGAAGAUGGACUUGGUGCUUAAUAGGAUGCGCGGGAGGGCUGCCGAGUCAAAACUCACGGAUGCACUUCGCCAGGAAGGAAACUGGUUGGAAGAGAAUCUAGUUCUUGCUCUUUCAUUUCCACAAAGUCCAGGGACCGGUCACCCGUGUCGGGGCAGGAGACCCAGGGCCUACAGCACUGACAGGGGCUCCGUUUACUUACUGUUGAGAGGGACAUGGCCCAGGCCCAGCUCUCCCACUGCUGCUCAGGUAGCUACUGUGCUUCCUGUGGCUGUACCUCUGCAGCACCUACAGUACUUUUGUUAGGUUUAAUUCUUUAUUUUUAUGUUUUAUUGAUUCAGGGAGAGGAAGAGAGGGAUAGAAACAUCAAUAAGAGAGACUCAUUGAUUGACUGCCUCCUGCACGUCUUCUCCUGGGGAUCGAGCCUGCAACCCGGGCGUGUGCCCUGACCGGGAAUCGAACCAUGAGCUCCUGUUUCAUGUGUCAACACUCAACCACUGAGCCACACCGGUCAGGCUAUUAGGUUUAAUUCUUCAAGGUGCCUUUACACAGCUUUCCACGUGUGAAAUGGUUAGGGAUGAAAGCCUGUUCUCACAAGUGUGAGAGAUGAAAGAUUUGCUGUAAAUGCCAGCACUUUGAGAAAAUUCUGGAUAAUAUUAUAGAAAAGUCUUGGAAAUUCUAGAUCUACUCAAUUCUCAGUGAAUUGUAUCUUUUUUUUUUUUAAUUUUCCUUCUGCUCAGUCAUUGUCUGCUCAGAAAAUCCAAACUAAUUGAAAUCUGAGCCCAGUUGUAAAUUAGGAAACUUGUUUGCUAAGAAAAAAAUAAUAAUCAUGUGCCUCACAGGUGAGCUUAGGUUUUGGACCAGACGCACACAUACAUAGCACAUGUGGAGUCCAUAAGCUGGUCCAAGGUGCCACGCACAUUUAGAGUCAUCUUUGUCGUCGGUGUGACAAAUGCCAGGCCGACAGUAUUUCUUAGAGGAUUGGCUUAUGUUAUCUUUCAAAUACCCUAGCAAUGGAAGUAUUGGCAAAACAGGGUUUUAAAAAAUUACUAAUGUAUUUGUCUGAGCUUUCUUCUUUCAAUAAAAGCACUGAUAUGCAUUCUAAAUGUCCUUUCAUAGAACCUAUUAGAGAUGAUGCUUACACACCGUGGUUUAGGAUUUAAAAGGGAGGUUACAACAGUGCUUCAGUGAGGGUGUGAUCCGCAGACCCACACCCCGGCUCAGAUCAGUCACCAUAACCUGCAGCUGCUCAGUUUGAAAGGCCUUGUGUUACUGCGGAGUCUCAGUUCACUUUACCUGAGAGAUCCAGGGUGGUGGCCAAGCUGGACUCAGGAGCUCCAGCAAUGUAUCUGGCACCCCACCUCUCUCUCUUCACUUGGUUGUACUUUCUUCCAUUUUUACUUAACUUUCACCUGGGCCACACUGACACCCUAAGAGUUGGAAGUCCGUUUUUAAGCUCCCCAAGAGUUAAAAAAAUAAAAUGAUACAGAAUCUAGUCCCACUGGGGGACUGAGAAUGACUGUUGAAACCAGUCACUGCGGAGGAGAGAUUUGCCUACUCACUGGCCAUGUCCGGGUCAGACGCCUGAACCUAGAGCUGGGGUUCCAGUCAGCUCACCAGCUGCAUGGACCAAUGAUGGGAACAAGCAUUGGCUCUGUUCCUGGAAGAAGGGGAAAGAAUGUUGGGUAAAGUUAAGUAUAACUGUUCUAGGCUCAACGAGCACUUUGUGGCCACAACGCCUUUCAUUGAACUGUUUUAUUAUUUUUCUCUAUUCCUUAUUAAAUUGUAAAUGCCUUGAAUUAUGCUAAAUUAUGUCUUUAAUUUUCCGAGGAACACGAUUAUUUGUUAUGGCCACCUCUUCCCUCCUGACUCUCUGCUUUGGACAGUGACUAGUAUUCAGCUGGCGCUCAUCGAAUGAUAUUUGAAUGGAUGAUAGUACGAUAAUGGCAAGAACUGCUGCACUUUAUUACUGCAAGUGACAGGGAGAUGAGUGUCGGCGAAAGGCUUGCUACUUUCAGUGCAUACCAAUUCCUGGUUCCCUUCAAGGCAGACGGAGUAUCUUCCAUGUGAUCUGAAAUUAUCUAACAUUUGCCCCGGUCUCUCCCACGUGAGAAAAAGGACGUCGGCGCUCUUCUUGCCCCAACGGACGUGAGCUCUUUACUCUUGGACCUCAUCGCACUCGGCACCCCCCGGACCCCCCUGGGUGUCUGUGCACAUCUGUUCUUGCCCUCCUGGCUCUGCUGGAGAUGCACAUUGAGCAGCAAAGCUACUCGCUCUGUGCAGUGUCAGUGUUGAGCCCCACACGGUCCCUGACGCAGUGAUGUCUGACUCAGCCGUGUGGGUCUGGGCUGAAAUUCCAUCAUGAACUUCUUUCCUGAAAAUCCGCAUAAUUUUGUGUAUCUCCUUGAAACUUAAAGGAGUUGCUGGUGAGCUUCUCCGUGGAAGGACUUGUUUUGUUUGAAGUCCAAGGGGGCCACACAGGCCAGUCAGAGUUGGUUCUUAAGCAGAGGAAACCCCCGGAAGGAAGCACAUGACGUGGGUGUGGAUGAAAUACAGGGUAAGCGAUGCAGGCCUGAGCCUUGGCCGAAGAACACCGGGCCGUAGACAUACACUCUCGUUUCUAAUAGUGAUUUUUCACUUCUUGUUGUAAAAAUGAAAAUCACAACAGAGCAGAGCUGUGGCCGUGCUCGAUACGUUGUCACGUGCUGUGGAAACGCGUCUUCAAGGACUAGCAACAGCGGGACAUACAUACGAACAGCUGGCACCUCAACCGUGUUCUUUCUUGAUGCGGCCAAUGGGGUCAGCGCCACUGGGCAGAGGAGGAAACUUGGGUCACGAGGUCGCCCAGCUCCUCCAGGUAGAGUUCUGUCUUGGACGCGGGGCUCUGGUGCCACCUCCUUCGCUGUGCCCACACCGGCCUCUCUGGAGGAGAAUCUGGACUUCACCGAAACCAGGAGGGUCCCGAACUCCAGCCACGCUCUGGGGGCACACUUUCAUUCCUGCUGAAUAUAUUCCACCAGAAAGAUGCUUGUCUCUUCUGGCCCGUGUCCCCGGCCCUCUGCUUGCUCGCGUGUGCACACACGCACACACACACACACACACAUUCACACUCUCACACUCACAGCCUAGAGAACAGGAACAGGGUGUGGAGUCCCUGUCUGCUCCAACCUCACAUUCCCACAGAGCCAGCCAGGGUUCCAUGCUUUGUGGGGGCAGUGUGUGUGUGUGUGUGUGUGUGUGUGUGUGUGUGUGCGCGCGCCAGAAAUCUCCCUCCAUCAGAGCAGGGAUGGGCAGCUGCCACAGGCCACCUCAGCAAUUCCCACGAUGCCCGGGAGCUGCAGGGUCUCGGGGCCCUUGGCCGCGGCUUUCCUGCCCUGGGAAAGCUCACUAGCUCUGGUUCCAGGCCUGCCAGCCGGUAAAUAUUUACGAGAGGAAGUGGUGACUGCGUUUAUUCACUGAGUAUCUGCUCUGUUCCACACACUGUUAAUAAUCAUGGUUACGGUUUCCUGGGCACUCGCCUUUGUGGGAACUGACUCUCAUUAAUACCACAGUGACUCCAGGCGUGGUGACUGUACAGGUGAGACAGGCAGGUGGCCCAGGAUCUUGCUCAGGUUUAUACAGAGGGUGAAUGACGAACCCCGGCCUGUUUCCCUGCAGAGCCACCGGCCUUAGGCAAGAACCUGGGGCCAGAUACUCUCACACCAGGUGUGAGGGGUUGAAUUGUGGGCCCCCCUCCCCCGAAAAGAUAUGUUGCAGCCCUGGCCCCCAGUACCUCCGAGUAAGACCUUAUUUGGAAAUGGGGUCAUUGCACGUGUAAUUAAUUAAGGUAAAAUGAGGUCCGAUGGAAGCAGGUAGACCCCUUAAUCCAAUAUGGCUGGUGUUCUUACAAGAAGGAGAGCGCAGCUGUGUGACGACGAGGCAGAGACUGCAGUGAUGUGGCCACAAGCCAAGGACUGCCCGAGGCUACAGGAGCUGGGAGAGACCGGGAAGCUCCCGCCCACAGGUUUCCCAGGAAGCACAGCCCUGCGACACCUGCCUGGGCUCAGCCUCUGGCCCCGGAACCGGGAAACGGUACAUUUCUGUUGUUUCAAGCCACCAAGUUUAUGACACGUAGUUACCGCAGCCCUGGGAACGCAUGCGCCAGGCGGUGCAGUGUUUAGUGGAGGCACAAAGGGAGCUCCGAGGAGUCUCUGUUCUACAGGAAGACAGCCGGGAAGCCCGGACAAGGAGGAAGGAAAGCUUGCAGCUUUUGCGCCUAGUCCUCCAGAGUGAGGAGGUGGGUGGGGGCGCUGGGAAGGUACAAGCCCUGGCCAGGGCAGGGGCGUCUGCGUGGCCUGGGAGAGCCCGACGCCCCUGGGUGAAGCCCUGGUGGGGGGAGAGACCAGUGGGGUGACUCUGGGGGUCGGUGGGCCGUGGGGACCGUGGCCUGCCUGGCGGCGGCCUGGGAAUACAAGCCAGGAUUCUUGGGCGACUCCGAGUGAGUGGGUAUGGACAAGGCCAGGUGCUCCCCCAGUUACCUCCAGGCUGAGCCAGCCCGCAGUCCCGGCCUGUACCCGGGGCCCCUCGCACAGCGCGCUGCAUUCACUUCUCAGAGUUUACGCUGAAAACGUUCACCAAAUUAUAACUGCAUGGGAAGGAAAUAGCACUCUGAAUUCUAGAAUAAAAUUUUUAACUUUGUGAAGGACCCUUCAGGGUUAUUGAUCAAACAGUGAGUGCGAUAGUAAGAAACAAGAGUUAAGCUCAGCCUGUCCUGGACGGAGCCCAGCAGAGAUCUUUAUGAGAGCCAGGGCUCCAUGAAGAGCCGUGUUGAAGAGGAACACCGAGGGGAGGCGUGCCCUACGGGUUAUGGAGAUCUGCGCAGAGCCAUGUGCAGUAAGAGGCAGGAGGGCACGGACUGGGAGCGGGACACACGGGAACUUCCUGCCCCAUAAAGAUGACUACAAAUCAAAUCACUGGGAGGAUGUGCCCUGUGGGAAUUCGGAAACCGCCUCCCUCCCGCAUUCCGAGGAGGGCGGGGGGAGGGAGCACUCUCCAGGGGAAAACUAAAAGGUCAGUGGGAGCCUGGCCAGUGUGGCUCAGUGGAUAGAGCGUCGGCCUGUGGACUGAAGGGUCCCAGGUUCUGUUUCGGUCAGAGGCACAUGCCCAGGCUGUGGGCUUGAUCCCCAGUGUGGAGUGUGUGGGAGGCAGCCAAUCAAUGAUUCUGUCAUCAUUGAUGUAUGUAUCUCUCUCCCUCUCUGAGAUCAUUAAAAAUAUAUUUAAAAAUAAAUAAAAUAAAAUUUAUAUUUAAAAAUAAUUAAAAAAUAAAAAGUCAAUGGGAGAAAAUGAAGGAGAAUGUUUUUC